GUCUAUUUGGAGAUAUAAAUAGUCUGGCCUGCUCACUGAUAAGAUUAUUUAAGAGCCGCGGUAUAUUGACCGUGCAAAGGUAGCAUAAUCAUUAGAGGUUUAAUUGGAAUCUGGAAUGAAGGGUUGGACAAAGGAAAAACUGUCUUUGAAAUAUAAUUUGAAUUUUACUUUUAGGUGAAAAGGCCUAAAUACUUCAAAGGGACGAUAAGACCCUAUAAAGCUUUAUAAAUAACUCAAAUUUAAUCAAUUUAGGGUAAUUAAAGAUUAGGUUUGAUUAUUUUAUUUUAUUGGGGUGAUGCGAGUAUAAUUGUUGUUAACUGCUUGAAUGUUUAUUCUAUUAUUUAAGAGUUAUUAAUAUAUGAUCCUUUUUAAAGAUUAAAAGACUAAGUUACUUUAGGGAUAACAGCGUUAUUUCUUUUGAGAGUUCAUAUCGAAAAAGAAGAUUGCGACCUCGAUGUUGAAUUAAAAUAUCUAUAUAAUGCAGUCGUUAUAUAAGAGGGUCUGUUCGACCUUUAAACUUUU
rnacentral:rRNA from 1 species